GACGAACGCUGGUGGCGUGCUUAACACAUGCAAGUCGAACGGAAAGGCCCUGCUUUUGUGGGGUGCUCGAGUGGCGAACGGGUGAGUAACACGUGAGUAACCUGCCCUUGACUUUGGGAUAACUUCAGGAAACUGGGGCUAAUACCGGAUAGGAGCUCCUGCUGCAUGGUGGGGGUUGGAAAGUUUCGGCGGUUGGGGAUGGACUCGCGGCUUAUCAGCUUGUUGGUGGGGUAGUGGCUUACCAAGGCUUUGACGGGUAGCCGGCCUGAGAGGGUGACCGGCCACAUUGGGCCUGAGAUACGGCCCAGACUCCUACGGGAGGCAGCAGGGGGGAAUAUUGCACAAUGGGCGGAAGCCUGAUGCAGCAACGCCGCGUGCGGGAUGACGGCCUUCGGGUUGUAAACCGCUUUCGCCUGUGACGAAGCGUGAGUGACGGUAAUGGGUAAAGAAGCACCGGCUAACUACGUG
rnacentral:rRNA from 1 species